ACGGACGCUGGCGGCAUGCCUAACACAUGCAAGUCGAACGAGACCUUCGGGUCUAGUGGCGCACGGGUGCGUAACGCGUGGGAACCUGCCCUUAGGUUCGGAAUAACUCCCCGCAAGGGGUGCUAAUACCGGAUAAUGUCUUCGGACCAAAGAUUUAUCGCCUUUGGAUGGGCCCGCGUUGGAUUAGCUAGUUGGUAGGGUAAAAGCCUACCAAGGCGACGAUCCAUAGCUGGUCUGAGAGGAUGAUCAGCCACACUGGGACUGAGACACGGCCCAGACUCCUACGGGAGGCAGCAGUGGGGAAUAUUGGACAAUGGGCGAAAGCCUGAUCCAGCAAUGCCGCGUGAGUGAUGAAGGCCUUAGGGUUGUAAAGCUCUUUUACCCGGGAUGAUAAUGACAGUACCGGGAGAAUAAGCUCCGGCUAACUCCGUG
rnacentral:rRNA from 1 species